AAAUUUUUAAUCAAAAUGCCACGUUUUCAAAGAAAAUGAAUAUUAUCACCGUUGAUUAUCAGGCACUAUAAAGAGCAUUUUCGAAAAAGGUUAUCAUUUUGUAAAUGUGAUGCAUAGUGUAUCUCUCUCUGCUUUUGCAAACUAGAAGGUUUCUCAUUUUUAUGCCCGUUUCAAGAAUGGCGUUCACCAGGGUUUUCCAAAUGGUUCUGAUCAUCUAAUUGGUGGCUUCAACGCCUUUUCUCCAUUUCUCUUAUCGCACUAGUAACAGACUGCUUUCACAAACAACAAUGGCAGAAGAGACCUCCACAAUCACAGAGGAGCUUGAAAGCAACUACCAGUUCAAUAGAUUUAGGAGAGGAAGUUCAGUUCUCAUUGUAGAGAAAAGGGAAGUUCCGACUGGACCAGACCCUCUUCACCAUAACAGUAACCCUACAGGACCUUAAUCAGCUUUCCUAUUCAUUGGUGGCAUAUGGGUUUCUAACCAGUUUUUUUUCUCUCUCUCUUUUCCUUUAUUUAGCCAUGGUUUUUAUUGUUCACUGGUCUUUGUCUUUGUAUAGAAUUAGUUAAAUUUGUAUUUAUUCUGAUGAUGAAAUCUCUUUUUCCAUUUUUAAAACAGGGUACUUACAUAGCUGUAUUUAGUUACUUGUUAGCUUUCUUUGGUCUGAAAUAUCCUGUUUUCCUCUCCAUUCCUUCUUUGUUUGAAUUAACUUGUGGAAAUUGAUGAAUGUCAGAAAU